AGUUAGGCACAGUGGAAAGGACUAACUGAAGAACUAAUUUGCAUUGUGAAGAUGUAUCCUGGGCAGGGACAGCGCUGUGACUGUAAGUUCAAAGCCAAAACAGCUUAAUGAGUCAGCAGGUGUGAAGCUACAGUUCAAAUACCAAGAAGUUUAAAAAAUGUGGUGAAGAAGACGAUAAACCUUGACAGUCCUUUCUGGUGAUCAGUCUGCCUAAUGCUUCAGAAAAGCUGGAGAGAUGGGCUCAGAGUAAGGCAGCCUCACUGAUAGGAUAGCGGUAACAUAAGCCUCAAUAGAUAUGACCAGCGUCAUGGGGAAACCAAAUGCAAUCUUUCUUGAGAUAUUAUAAUGUGGCAGCAACUUCCUUAAGUCUUUAUAUAGCUGUUCCUUGGUCACUUGGCAUGCUUAAAUAAACGUACAACUUCAGAGAUUCUUCAAGUUUUAAAGGAUGUCUAGAAAGCAGCAACAUCAGAGUGGGAGGAGAAAAGAAGUGAAAUUAUUAAUACAAUAAACAGGCAAUAAAAAAGUAAUCAAAAAGGGCUGUGACUUUAAAAGAGAGCGAGUAGGUGUACAUGAGACUGUUUAGCGGGAAUAAUGAGAUGGUAAAAUGAUGUAAUUAUAAUUUCAAAAAUGAAAAAGCAGUAAUAAUUUUUUUAAAAAGAAAAACCAUGUUUUUUCCAGUUACUGGCAGAGUGUACCUUUCUGUCAAAACUGUGAGGGGAUAUCAUGACUACCAAUUUGACCUCAAACAGGAUUCUAGAAGGAAUAUAGGUCCACUGGUCCACAGCUAAGAAGUAUCUUCAUUUCUCUUACCAUAUUCAGACUCUAAAAUGUAUCUCAUAAGUAGUUUUAUCUCAAGUCAUGUAACACUAAAUACACACACACAUGAGCAUAUGCACACACAUUAAUAUUGUAAGAUGCGUUCAUUCGUUCAUUGCAUACAUUACAUGUAUUCGGAACGGAGUAAUAAAAGGGGCGAAAUUACAAUCAAAGGCCACUAGGUGGCGAGUGUGCUAUGUCAUGUCCACUCACCUAAUGGAGGUGCUGCUGGUAUUAUCCUGUGUAUCAAGGGAUCAUCAUAUCAGAUGGUUCUGCUGCCAAACAGAUGUCUGAAAUCGAUUUUGGAAGCCAGAUAAGAGUCUACAAUUAUCAUAGAGCACCUCUUUUGUGAGUUAGAUGCCUUUCCCAAACAAUAUUUAGUAUGGAGUGCCUCUUCUUUUAGAGCACGACGUGUUUUUAAACCACUGGUCACCACUCCAUGGCUUUUCUUCUGAAUUCUAUUCCAAUGACUCCCCCCAGCACCGUACAGUUCGUAGCUACCAGCUCUGUCUUGGCCUUCAAUUUGCUUCCUGUAAUGUCCUACAUACUAGGGGCAGUUAAUCAAGCAAACAGACCUGAGAUCUUUUCCUUUUGGAACCUGACAUCUCUCAUUAAGGUACCUUUGUAUGAAGUAGCACAUUUUAAACACUACACACAUAGGCUCAACACUUGAAGGCUUGAAAGGCAGAUGUCUGGUAUGGGUGUACGGAAAGCCAAAGGUUCAGUAUAGUGAACCUUUCUGCUUCAGAAACCUCACUUAGGCACUUUUCCGGAAGAGGGGGUAGUUUUCAUUAAUUUGUGAAUGAAGUUUAAAAGUAACUUUUGCAUCUCUUAACUAGUUUUCAUUAUUUCACUCAGCAAACAGGAAUUGUGUCCUUUCCAGUGUAGAUAUUGUGUGCCAACCAUUGACUACACAAUUCUUUUAUUUAUAUAUAAUACUUCACACAUUUCUGAAGAGAAAAGGCUGUGAUGGUCUGACUCCAUUGAGUUCUAAUUCAUUCAGAGAAGUUAAUAUCUCUCUCCUUAAUAUCUCUCUCCUUAUUUUGAGAUACAUAAUGCAGGAAGCAUCUGCUCUAUUUUUACCUACCAUUUAAUUUAUUACUUCAAAAUAAUAAAUAUUUAUUUCCUUAUUUCUUUUUCAAGGACAAACAUUUUUGUAUUUUAUUAUUUUUUAGGGAAGACACACAGUUUCACAAGAAGCAAUGAUUUUUCUCAAAUAAUAGGAAAAAAAGGUCCUUUUGAAAAAUAAUCUCCAGGAUCACUUCUAUAGUUUGUCAUUAUAUUUUAAUAUUACAGUUUUCUUUCGAAUGUGAUACAAAUGAUAGUAUGAAUCUUACAUUGCAUUGAGAUUUUUUUCAUGAACACCAUGAUUUCUGAUAGAUUUUAAUUUGUGUCAAACAUUGUAGAAAAGUCAAAGCCCCUCCUCCCCCCAAAAUAUGCACAACCUCAAGCCUACUAUGAAGUUUAGAUUGUUUUCACCUGAACAUCAUGAACAAUUAGUGGACAAUUACAAGCAAGCUGAGUAGCAAGUAGGUUGCAGUAAAAUGACAAGUCCUACUUCUUAUUGCUCUGAUUGACCUGCUUCUUUUUCUUUGACGAUGUCUUUUCUCAUUACCAGGGACCUUGAUCCUUUUCUACUGGGAAGUCAUCCAAUAACCCACGUUAUCUUGUUAGUGAUUCACAGGCUCCUGCUCUUCUUUACUUAGGAGUAAAGGAAUACCUUGAAGGCAUUUUCAAUAGUAGUAUCAAUGGCAGUCAUCAGAGUCCCUUUCACACCACAGCACCAACAGUGUUCUCCAGGUCACUCAGCCAAGACAGGAUUCUUCCCUGUAACGGGAAGCCUCGGCCAGUAGUGAAGAGACCCAGGCAUUUACAAUCUGUUGCUAGCAAGAACUCAAACACUUAACUGUGCAAAGCCUAAAGUGGAUUGCAGAAACAUAGUGGCUUUCUACUAAGUUUUUACUCUCUCGGAAUCUCUGGGUCAUAGGUCAUGGAAAGGUUGGUGGUGCUGCAUAAUGGUGAGAGAUCCAGGGGGACAGUGAAGCUGACAGGUGCCAUACUUUCCUGCUGUCCAGGAAGUGGUGACUCACCCUUGCACCAGUAGUUUUCACUGCUAUGAUGUUUAAUGGGUGACUCAGACUCUAAAGGCAGAAUAUUCACCUCAUUAUAAAUUCUGUUUAACAUAUUUCCUUAAGAAAAUUAAUUCAAAAUAUUUAAAAACUGCGUUCCUUUAAUUAUCCAUGAUGUGUGAACAUAGUCUCUGUGAUUUUUUUUUAAAGGAAAGCAGAAGCUUGUCUUGAAGCAAUAUCAAGAAAUUCUUCUGAUAUCAUUUACACAAUACAGUUCCUAGUGUUUUCCCAGCUCAGUCACUAAAAGUAUGCGAUGUAAUGUGAUGUUUAUUGAUACAUUUGGAAAAAGUACGCUGUAGAGCAAUGUAACCUUAGAUAAAUAACAAGAAAAGAACAUUAUCACACGAUGCACGGUGACUCCUUUCAGACUUCUUAAAAGGAGAAAUCACAGGAAUAUCAGCCAAAAUGGCAUAUCAAGUUGCAAUAAAAUCAGGCUCCUCCCCUCAUAUUAUGGCUGGACAAAGUUUCCUAGUGGAAGGCCAAAAGUCCCAAAAGCAGAAAAGAAAAAAAUCUGAAACAGGCCCUCCAUUCUCUGUUAGGAGGACUAUAAGAAUACCAAGCUACACAACUGUAUACAGAGGGCCGAGAUUAUUUUUGCUUCAGUCUCACUGAUUCCCUAUGAGUCCAGGUUGGUUGAUUCGGUGGGUUUUAUGGUGAUGCCCUUGAUGCCUCUGGCUCCUCCAACCAUUCCUCCUCCUAUUCCCCAUGAUUCCCUGUACUCUGCCUAAUAUUUAAUUAUGGGCCUCUGCAUCUAUUUACAAGAAGUGUGUGGAUCAGCGCACCAUUAGCUCACCAGGGAUCAGCCUGGAGAUGUACUGUUUUGUCCACAGGAAGAAUGGGAAAGCCAGAGCAAGAGUCGUGAAGGAGAAACAAGAAGCUUUUCAAGGUCUCCCUUUCAGUCCCCAGCUGGUGCUUCCUCCUUCUUUUGGCUCCCACCCACUUGUCACACAUCCUGGUAGCCCAAUCUUAUAAUUUUCAUUCAGUUAAUAUAAAUUGUGCUUCAGUUUGGGGUAAUUUAAGUGAUUUCUCAGACCCUUAAAAAAUGUAUUUUUAAGUAUGUACUGUAACAUUAAGAACACAUAAUAUUUUUUAAAAAUUGCAAAAGCAUAUGUAAGUAUUCUCAUGAGUGACCAUGAUUCUGAUGCCACUGGACUGUUGAACUGAAAAUAAACAUCCAAUAAACACCAUAAUGCUAUAGAGAUAAA